rnacentral:rRNA from 1 species
AUUGAACGCUGGCGGCAGGCCUAACACAUGCAAGUCGAACGGUAACAGGAAGCAGCUUGCUGCUUUGCUGACGAGUGGCGGACGUGUGAGUAAUGUCUGGGAAACUGCCUGAUGGAGGGGGAUAACUACUGGAAACGGUAGCUAAUACCGCAUAACGUCGCAAGACCAAAGAGGGGGACCUUCGGGCCUCUUGCCAUCGGCUGUGCCCAGAUGGGAUUAGCUAGUAGGUGGGGUAACGGCUCACCUAGGCGACGAGCGCUAGCUGGUCUGAGAGGAUGACCAGCCACACUGGAACUGAGACACGGUCCCGACUCCUACGGGAGGCAGCAGUGGGGAAUAUUGCACAAUGGGCGCAAGCCUGAUGCAGGCAUGCCGCGUGUAUGAAGAAGGCCUUCGGGUUGUAAAGUACUUUCAGCGGGGAGGAAGGGAGUAAAGUUAAUACCUUUGCUCAUUGACGUUACCCGAAGAAGAAGCACCGGCUAACUCCGUG